GCCUUCGAGGACCAGUGGUGGUCGUCCCGGUUCUAUAGUAUGAGCCAAAAGAUGUCCAGCGGGAAGGCGGGGUUCGACUCCCCGCGGAGGCA